rnacentral:rRNA from 1 species
AUACGUAGGGUGCGAGCGUUAAUCGGAAUUACUGGGCGUAAAGCGUGCGCAGGCGGUUUUGUAAGUCAGAUGUGAAAUCCCCGGGCUCAACCUGGGAACUGCGUUUGAAACUACAAGGCUAGAGUGUAGCAGAGGGGGGUGGAAUUCCACGUGUAGCAGUGAAAUGCGUAGAGAUGUGGAGGAACACCGAUGGCGAAGGCAGCCCCCUGGGUUAACACUGACGCUCAGGCACGAAAGCGUGGGGAGCAAACAGGAUUAGAUACCCUGGUAGUCCACGCCCUAAACGAUGUCAACUAGUUGUCGGGUCUUAACGGGCUUGGUAACGCAGCUAACGCGUGAAGUUGACCGCCUGGGGAGUACGGUCGCAAGAUUAAA